rnacentral:rRNA from 1 species
GUCGAGCGGUAGAGAGAAGCUUGCUUCUCUUGAGAGCGGCGGACGGGUGAGUAAUGCCUAGGAAUCUGCCUGGUAGUGGGGGAUAACGUUCGGAAACGGACGCUAAUACCGCAUACGUCCUACGGGAGAAAGCAGGGGACCUUCGGGCCUUGCGCUAUCAGAUGAGCCUAGGUCGGAUUAGCUAGUUGGUGAGGUAAUGGCUCACCAAGGCGACGAUCCGUAACUGGUCUGAGAGGAUGAUCAGUCACACUGGAACUGAGACACGGUCCAGACUCCUACGGGAGGCAGCAGUGGGGAAUAUUGGACAAUGGGCGAAAGCCUGAUCCAGCCAUGCCGCGUGUGUGAAGAAGGUCUUCGGAUUGUAAAGCACUUUAAGUUGGGAGGAAGGGCAUUAACCUAAUACGUUAGUGUUUUGACGUUACCGACAGAAUAAGCACCGGCUAACUCUGUGCCAGCAGCCGCGGUAAUACAGAGGGUGCAAGCGUUAAUCGGAAUUACUGGGCGUAAAGCGCGCGUAGGUGGUUUGUUAAGUUGGAAUGUGAAAUCCCCGGGCUCAACCUGGGAACUGCAUUCAAAACUGACUGACUAGAGUAUGGU